rnacentral:misc_RNA from 1 species
AAGUCGUAACAAGGUUUCCGUAGGUGAACCUGCGGAAGGAUCAUUAACGAGUUAGGGUCUUCUAGGCUCGACCUCCAACCCUUUGUAUAGCUACCAUGUUGCUUUGGCGGGCCCGUCCUUCACCGGACCGCCGGGGGUCUUUUGACCUCUGGCCAGUGCUCGUCAGUAGCCCACAUCAAACUCUUUUAACCAUGUUAAAUCUGAUAAUAGUUAAAUAAACUAAAA